AGUGCUUGAAAAUAGGUAUCCUGUAGUUGUUAGUGCUUGAAGGUGUGUGCCUGUAGUUAGUGCUUGAAGGUGUGUGCCUGUAGUUGUUAGUGCUUGAAAAUGGGUAUCCUGUAGUUGUUAGUGCUUGAAGGUGGGUGCCUGUAGUUGUUAGUGCUUGAAGGUGGGUGCCUGUAGUUGUUAGUGCUUGAAGGUGGGUGCCUGUAGUUGUUAGUGCUUGAAAAUAGGUAUCCUGUAGUUGUUAGUGCUUGAAGGUGGGUGCCUGUAGUUGUUAGUGCUUGAAGGUGGGUGCCUGUAGUUGUUAGUGCUUGAAGGUGGGUGCCUGUAGUUGUUAGUGCUUGAAGGUGGGUGCCUGUAGUUGUUAGUGCUUGAAGGUGUGUCCCUGUAGUUGUUAGUGCUUGAAGGUGUGUGCCUGUAGUUGUUAGUGCUUGAAGGUGGGUGCCUGUAGUUGUUAGUGCUUGAAGGUGUGUGCCUGUAGUUGUUAGUGCUUGAAGGUGUGUGCCUGUAGUUGUUAGUGCUUGAAGGUGGGUGCCUGUAGUUGUUAGUGCUUGAAGGUGGGUGCCUGUAGUUGUUAGUGCUUGAAGGUGUGUCCCUGUAGUUGUUAGUGCUUGAAGGUGUGUGCCUGUAGUUGUUAGUGCUUGAAGGUGGGUGCCUGUAGUUGUUAGUGCUUGAAGGUGGGUGCCUGUAGUUGAUAGUGCUUGAAGGUGGGUGCCUGUAGUUGUUAGUGCUUGAAGGUGGGUGCCUGUAGUUGUUAGUGCUUGAAGGUGGGUGCCUGUAGUUGUUAGUGCUUGAAGGUGGGUGCCUGUAGUUGUUAGUGCUUGAAAAUGGGUAUCCUGUAGUUGUUAGUGCUUGAAGGUGGGUGCCUGUAGUUGUUAGUGCUUGAAGGCGGGUGCCUGUAGUUGAUAGUGCUUGAAGGUGUGUGCCUGUAGUGGUUAGUGCUUGAAGGUGUGUGCCUGUAGUUGUUAGUGCUUGAAGGUGUGUGCCUGUAGUUGUUAGUGCUUGAAGGUGUGUGCCUGUAGUUGUUAGUGCUUGAAGGUGUGUGCCUGUAGUUGUUAGUGCUUGAAGGUGUGUGCCUGUAGUUAGUGCUUGAAGGUGAGUGCCUGUAGUUAGUGCUUGAAGGUGUGUGCAUGUGCAUAAUAUCAUCCUUCUGUACCU